rnacentral:rRNA from 1 species
AUGGUGACGACGAUGGGGCACGUGGUGGCGCUCCUCUCCGCUGCCCUCUCCGGCGGCGUGGUCGGCUGCAGUCGCCACGACGACCACUACCACUCGGGCGGCUGCUGCGUGUGCAUAUCAAGGUUCCGCGACGGGGAGGACAUACGCAGCCUGCCGUGCGGCCACGCCUUCCACCGGCAAUGCGUCGACAGGUGGUUGGCGCUGUGCCGCCGGACCUGCCCGCUCUGCCGCCUGCACGUCGGCGGCGUGACAGAUGAGCACCAGCUCAGCGACGACCUCGUCAUCUGGUUCUCUUCUCUCUUCGUCGCCGGCUUGUAG